rnacentral:lncRNA from 1 species
GUGGAAGGAGCUUUAGCAAUUCGAUCAGUUAUUAAUGCCUAUGAAAAAAUAUCGGGACAGAUGGUGAAUUUUAAAAAGUCAUUAAUUUACUUUAGCAACAAUGUCAACGAUACGGUUAAAUUGCAAAUAGGAAGGGAGUUGGGGGUUCGUAUGACCAACAAUCCGGAGAAAUACCUUGGAUUACUGACAAUGGUGGGGAGGCGAAAGAGAAAUGCUUUUGUGGAAAUAAAUAAUUUUUUUUGACAAAAGUGAAGAACUGAAGCAUUCGCAAUUUGCCUAUUGGAGGAAAAGAGGUUUUUAUCAAAUCAGUCUUACAAGUCAUUCCAAUCUAUGCUAUGCAAUGUUGCAGAUUACCAAGUUCUUUAUGCCGGGAAUUAGAGAAUAUUAUGUGUAAAUUCUGGUGGUAAAAUUUAAAAACGGAUAAGGGUAUUUACUAGUGUUGGUGGUUGUCAUUAUGCAUCUUAAAGGCGCAAUGGGGGAUGAGAUUUAGAGAUUUAUCAAAUUUUAAUAAUGCCUUGUUGGCAAAGCAAGGAUGGAAGCUAAUCACCAAUCCCACAAGCUUACUUGUACAAGUAAUGAAAUCUAAAUACUACCCAUGAAGUGACUUUUUGAAUGCCGAACUAGGGGCUUACCCUUCGUUUACCUAGAGAAGCAUAUGGAACGCUCGGAGUAUUUUGGAAUCAAGAAUGGGUUGAAGAAUCAGAGAUAGUAGAUCAGUUAACAUAUGAAACAAUCCAUGGUUUCCUGAGGAAGGAAAAUUACAAUUUCAGAAUAUUGAUUAUAGGUACACUUUAGUUGCAGACCUUAUAAAUCAUGAAUCUGUCACCUGAAAGGAGGAAACCUUGAGAGGGUUUUUCCCAGAAGAACAAGCUAGUGAGAUUGGAUCCAUUCCUUUGGGGAACGCUCUGCAACUAGAUAUAAGGUUUUAGUAAGGUGACAGGUUGAGAGAAUACACGGUAAAAAACGGUUACAAAAGGUGUGUCUUAGAAGAUUUAAAUAUGAUGGGAAAUGAAAUUUCAACAGACCAGGAUCUAACUAGAAGUUAUUUUACAAAAAUUUGGAGUCUAAAAAUUCUCAGCAAUGUUCGAAUUAAUCUAUGGGAAAAUGAGUUUGUAAGCUACAUCUUCCGAGACUACAUCCUCGCAAAACAAGUCCUCCAGCAAAUGACACUGACAUUGGUCCCCGUUCAUGAAAAUCAAGAAUGGAAACAAUGGUUAGCGGAGGCCUUCAAUCUCAAUAAUGCAUAUAAAUGUUCAUGCUUAGCAGUGUCAUUAUAGGCAAUAUGGCAUAACAAGAAUAUAUAUUUCCAUGAAGGCAUCCGACAGAGAACAUGCGAGAUUGUGGCUUAUAUUAAAGCAUACUUAGCGGAUCUUGAUAAGCUAAAGGAAGCACUAAAAUGUCAACAUAACACAGUGAUUACCCAUUGGGAGCCCCCAUCAAAAAGUCAAGUUAAAGUUAAUUUUGAUUCUGCAUUUCUUCAACAAAGCAACAAAGCAGUCUCGGGAAUUAUCAUCAGAAACUAUACAGGACUUGUAAUAGGUUUGUGUUCUUACCUGAUCCACAACGUUAGAUAUCUAACAAUUGCUGAAGCGUAUACAUGCCUUAAAGGAGCCGUUUUUGCUGAAGAAAUAGGAUUUAGCGAUGUUAUCAUGGAAGGGGACUCAAGGAUUGUCAUUAAAAAACUGCAAAACCAUGGAAAUGAUAGAUCAGCCAUCAGGGGAGUUAUAAACAAAAUAAUAGCAAUGUCAAGAAUUUUCUGGAAUAUUGAGUUUCGGUUCAUACCACGAGAAGCCAACGGAGCGGCGUAUGCGAUGGCUGCAUGGGGCAGAGGAAGUAAUUUUUUGACUUUCUAGGUAGAAGAAACUCCAUUAGAGGUUGAACCUAUCGUAGCUAGAGACCAAAGAAGAAUUGAUUAAUAAAAAUAUAUGGAUGUUUGAUGGGCUAACUUCGAAAAAGGAAAUGGGUUAACAAAGCUCGGAGGAACUCAGAAGAUGAUGGACCGGGGGAAUGAAGUCAAGCCGAGAACAAAGGAUUUGCUUUAACAGGUCCACCGUUGAAAUGAAUUUUGGCGACGCGACAAAAGAAGAGAAGAACGAGGGAAGGUUAAAGGCUAGUUUGGAUGGGCGGUGUGUUUCCCUUCGGUGAGGUUAAAAAUAGCGGUGGCGGUGAGAUUAGUUACUGUAGCGGUGAGAUUGGGUACUGUAGCGGUGAGAUUAGAAACAAUGGUGGAGUGUGUGUUUGAAUUCAAACGCAGCUGUAGCGGUGAGGUGAGAAUGAAAAAUGAC